rnacentral:sRNA from 1 species
CGUGUUUGAAAGAUAAGGAUACUCAUCAAAUAAUUCAGAAAACCCGGACUUACUUCCUUUGCCAAUGGCGGGCCACAUUCGAAAGAUAGCCGUCAGGCCGGUGGAUUACAAAAGCAAGGAGGAGUCCAAACCUUAUUCAAUAAGGAGUUUUCAUCAUCUUCGAAUGCGGUCC